UCAGAGUGCAGUAGCCCAGACAAGACAGACCUCGCUCUCUUGCAAGAUGCCAAACAUAAGAGAAUGCAGAGCAUUGGAAACAAGUUAAGUAGCUUCAUCAAAAAUAUAUACUUUUUUUUUUUUUUAACCAUACAUAUGUGUAAAAUGCAGACAUGUAACUGCAGAUAGUUGGAAAGUAUGCAUGAGUUACUUUCCAUUAGCUUUCCUCUCACUGCUGGGAUCCAUCAGCAACAGCUUGUUUAUUCCCUCCUACCCCAAGUAAUUUAGCUCCUCUUUUCUCCAUCAUACGGAGAUAUUUGGAAAAAAAACACAGACCAAACCUGACUCCGUCUUCACAGGACUCACAGGAUAUAUGCUAUAUUCCACAGCUCUGAAACAAGAUCUGGGCAAUAUUUCAGAUCAGGGAAGUUUAAUACUGUUUAUAUAGAUCUCUGGUGCUGUAUCAAUAUUCUAGGAUUGUUUUUUUUCUCUGCUUCCUCUCCGACCCCAUUGUGCAAGCUGCUCUGAGCUUUUUUGAACUACUGGUCAGUGCUGGGCUGUGUUCUGCUAUGAGGGGAGUUCACUGGAGAGCAAGAAACCCUGAAUUUCCUACAUAUAGCUGUGGAACAGGACUGCAAAUUGUUUUCCAGAGAUGUUGAGUUUUUAAUCAGUUGCAGUUCCACAUGGACAAAAGACCAAAGAACAAAUAAUUUAUGAGGUAUUUGGAACUGCACUGCUGUAAUAUUGUUGUUCAAAAAACCAGCAGCAAAGUGCAAGUGGAGAUGGAAGACCUGCUGAAAUUUCUGCUGACGACAAAGUAGAACUCUGCUGGAGGAACACCAGCAGAAACAACCAUCAGACAUGGCAGACAUGGCAGAAGGAGAACUGACUCAUAGUCGACGCUGUCUAUUCUUUAUAUCAACAGCAGCUGUCAUGCUCUUGAUGAGACAUUAGAGGACCAGAUUGAGAAGAGUAUAGCUGAGGGUUAAAAGUCAUCACCAAAAGAUCACUCAAUAGGAAUGUAUUGCUUUGUUCUGAGGAGUGUGUUUCAUGACAUCUGAAGUACAGCUGAAGUAACUGCAAGAGGUGUUAUAGGGCUAGCGGAAUAAAAGUAAGAGCCAAGGUAAGCACAAGGGAUAGCUUUGGGAAUCCACAUGGAAAUAGCUGAUUGGAACACAGAAAGGUUCUGUAUAUUUAAGGAUAACUUAGGGGCUGCCCACUGAGGACUAAAGACAAGAGCUAUUGAGGUAGUCCUCAGGAAGGAAAAAGAAAAAAGUUAGCAUCAUUGGCACUAUCAGUGAUGGUCAGAGUUCAAGGGGUUUUGCAGUUCCAUAUGUUCUGGAAGGGGACAGUUUUAGUUUGAUGCCCUCUUUUUAGCUGAGGAGAAUCUCAGCUGCUUGACUUCAAACAGGUAACAUUUGUUGGGCAGGACCAAAGACCAGGAGGUAAGGAGAAGAGGAGCUAUGGCUUACCUUGAGCAAAGUGGAAUCUGCUUCCAGAAUACAAAGUGAUGUUUUCUGUUCUCAUCAAGAAGAAAGAAGCUAGAAAAGAAAGAAUAAGAAAAGGAGAUGGGAAGAAGUGUUAACUUUUAUCCAUGCUGAAAAUAGAGCCUUCACAUACUGUGUGAUAAUAGCAAAAACAUAUUUGAACUUGGGGUUGAGUCAAUCUGCUCCAAACUUUAAUGAGCUUUGAAUUGUGCCUCUGUGUUGUUAGUGCCUCUUUAAUGGAAAAAAUUAAAAGAUUGGAAAUAUAGGCAAGUUAUAUGUCACAAUAAGCAUAGUAAUGAGACUACAA